GGCAUUCAAGGUUUGGGGCUGCCUGGCAGGGUGGGUGAUGGGUCCCAUCCCUCCCACCACCCAGAGACAUGGGCAGGUGGCCCUUUGACUUCAGGAGGAUGAAAAUAUCCUAGAAAAGGAAUGCAGACUUCCAAAGGUCACGGGGGAUGAUGCAGUGGGAUCUGACAAGGCAAGAGAAGAAAUACUGCCCAGGAGCUUUCGCAUGUGUGACUGCAGCAGAGGGUCCCUCCCUGAAGCGCUGAUGCCGGGACCCCAUGCUGGCUGUCCCGGGAGCCCUGCUCGGCUCCCUCCAGGGCUGCGGACGAGGAGCACACCGCGGCCAGCUCACCCCUCCUGCGCUGCGCCCGCGCUCAGCCUCGUCUCUUCCCUAUCCGGAUGGGUGCGCGAGCUGCAGGGGGCAGGGUCCGUGUGCAAUCUGAAAUAUAACAUCACUUGGUUUCCUUUUGGUUGUUUUUCAAACUGGUCAUACUUUUAUUCUUUAAGACACUUUCACCUUUGCUUUGAGCCAUUUUUUCCCUAACAAUGUAAUUACUCAUAAAACACAGCAGACCUUUCCAUUCUGCAAACCUUUGCAGUUUUGUUCCACAAUGUCUUAGCUAGUUUUUGACAUAAAGCACUGAUUAAUAAAGAAAGUUUGAUUGAAUGUUUUAUCCAUAUGUGUGGCUGCGUAUCUGUGUGUGAGUAUCUUUUUAGCUUAAAUCAGUCCCCUAAGAGAGAGGAAAUCAUUAAGAGAGGAAAUCAUUCAAGGUAGUAGCUACAU